AGUAAAUAAAUAAUAAAACAAGAACCGAGGAACCAAGGGUUACAAUUUUAACAACAGAGGGAGAAAAUUUGGAAUACACGAGGGAACAAAAGAUACAAGAAGCUGAUAGCAGAGUGGGUGCCGAAAUUAAAAGAUGGGAGAAUAUAAAAAUAGCUGCGAGGCUCAGUUGUGGAUAUGAGGAGAGGGGAAAUGGAAAAUGAAGAGAAGGUGAAGAAAGAAAAUCAGAAAAUGUAUGCUGUGUAAAGAUUAAGAGGAGAAAGAUCAUUUAAUGCGGGAGUAUUCGAGGGAGUAUUAGUAAAACGAAGAAAAGCAAAACAGAUAAAUAUUAAACAGAGCGAAGGGGAAAGAACUGGAAGGAGCAGAUUAUAGAAAAAAAUGGAAACAAAGAAAAAAGGGAAAUUCAACGAAAGGUUAGGAAAAGAGUUAAUUAAUGAGUGGUUGGUAAUGCUAAUGAAUAUUCUUUACUGUAAGGUUGUUCUCCCCAGACUUAUACCAAAUUUAAAGAAUUCAGUGGUACUUAUAGUGCGGAGAUAAAGGAGAAUAACGUGAACAAUAAUGUUAAAAAAGUUUAUAAUAGAAAUUAUUCGGCGUCGGGAUAUGACGACCCCAUCGCCCAUCGCCUUUUGGUGGUGCAAUCAGUCAAUUUCAUGUCAGUAAGUGUCUUCAAUCAAAUGAAUAAAAAGCAAAAAAUGAAAAAAAAAAGGUUUUCGCCGUAAGGUGAGUAACUUUAGCGCAUUUUCCAUGAAUAUAAUGUACUAUUUAUGCGCACAAUGGACAUAUGUAUGUAUUCUUAUAAAUAAGAAAUUUGCCAUUGCGCAGUCUACGCCUGCGCACACAUGAUCGCAAUAUAUUUGCCUUUACUAGGAGAAUCUCCAUUUAAAAUUUCAAAAAAAUAUCUCUACAAAUAAAAUCGGAUACUUCAGAAACUAGCACCUACUCCGAAUUUUUCAGCAGCUGCUUCAGGUGGCGAAAACUUCCACGCCACAUUUUACCAGAGCUUAAUAUUUUCAAAUAAAUAGAAGUAACACGGUGAUAAAUAAGCCAAUUUGUCUUUCAUUCGAAAGUUUUGUUUUUAUUGUUGUUUUGCUUCAUUUUAAUAUACCCAAACAGUCAUGGAGUUACAUUUUUCAAUAUAUGUGAAAUAUUAAAUAAUCGAAAUAAAAGUUUUCGUUGAUACGCCCUUUUAUUAAUUUUGAAGUAAAAAAUCGCACACGUAAAUUUUGCUUUUGCAUAAGGUUUCAUCCAUUAAAAGACAGAGAACACGUGCGUUUUAGUUUCCAGUGGUGGAGUGCGUAUUUUUUUAAACCAUUACCUAGACCUACAGCUUAGGAAAAUUAUUAGGUACCAAAGCUAGAGCUCUUUAUACAUAAACAUUUAAAGGCCGUCUGGCACACAUCACAAUCCGUUCUACCACUAUGAAGAAUUCUUAAAUAGUGCCAUCUGUGCUAAGGUGUGAUAACUCUGUUUAAAGUAUUUUAUGUAGUUUGUCAUUUCAUAUAGUGUUCAUGUUUUUUUUUUACUUUACAUAACUUUUAUAUUUAUAUAUCAUUUUGACAAUUUUAAGUACACUUUGUAUAAUAACAAGCAAAUAUAUUAUUAUUACAUUCAAAAUCUACACUAUAUAAUGCAAGAAGAAUCAAAUCCUUAGGCAAAUUCUCCGAAAUAUUGCAUUUAUCGUCUGUAAGUGCUCUCCUUCGACACUACGUUCUCUAGAUACGACAAAUUAUAACCGAUCUCGAUAAGGGAUCGGAUCGAAGAUAAUGGCGCUGGUUGGCUGAAAUUAAUUCCUUUCGUUGAGACAUUUUAUUAGAGCACCAUGAAGAAUAAAUCCACUCACAAUCGUGAGGUUCAAAUACUUGCCAGAAAUGCAUAAUUUUAGAUUUCUAAGAAACGUACAUGUUUGUAUUUACUUUCCUUACGCAUCCGUACAUAUUCUGCAGCAGUAGAACUAACGAUGCGUUGUAAAAUUUUGGGGAAGUUAUGUAAGUCAAAAAAGGUGGUCUACCAACUCUAAUUCGUGAACGUCUUUGUAAAUCAAAUAGAAAUCAAUAGUAAGGACCACGUUAUUUACAGAUGGAGGCAACAUUCGUCAAUAUUUUGUUACUUUUUGUGUUUGGGUAUUUUUUGACAUUAGUAUUGUUUAUACCUACACGUUUGUUGGUACAUUUCCUUAGCCUUUAAAAAACAAAGUUGUUUUUAACUAAAUUGAACACACCUACUGUGCUUAAAAUAUCGUUUAUUCUUUAGACCCUAUCCAGGGCGAACUUUUAAUCUCAUUCACGUAUGUUGACUGUAGUCCAGGUUGAACUUUUUUGUUAUUGUUUUGUUCUGAGAAACCUUUGCUAACUUUAUCUGUUUGUUUACUACACCAUGAUUUCCACGUAAACAUUUGCGUGUUAUAUCAAUUAUUUACUUUUUAGGAAAAAUAAGUGCUUAGUCCUAAGUAAUGUUUACCCACAGUGUUUGCAGCGAUGUAUACACGGAUGACGUAAAUAUUUCUGUGGGUCGUUUUUUCGCUUCCUCGUACCGAGUUUUCCGUCUCGGAAAUUGGUACAUUUUUGGAGACUAAGUCGUAUUGACAUAGCUUUAGACUCAAGGAUAACAAAUAUUUAAUUUAGUAAUCGUACAGUGUAAUUUUUUCUCAACAAAAAUCUGUCCACCUAAAAGGACUACUGAAAGUAGUAGAUGCCCUGCUAGAUACCUUAAUUUACCUAUUUAACUUCUGGAAAUUGAACCAACACUUAAUGCUCGAAUGUGUAAAGUCCAGGGAGGAAAUCAUUUCGAGCAUGGUGCAGCGAAGGGGCCCUACUACUAGCUAAGCUACUACUUCGACUUGGAUAAUGUGUUCGAAUGCGGAAGUCCGAGGAGGACUUGAUCCUGUUGCGAAUGAACUUUAUGCGUUAUUUUAUUACUAUAGAGAUAGGCCAAACCUGGAAUCACCCACUACACUCCCGAAACGACUAAAGCAAUGUACUAAGAGAAGCGAACCAGCUACGAACAAGGCCGGAAAAGUGCUGAUAUGCAAAGGGCAUACUGAUGCUAGCCGACUACCAUGAGAAGGUUUGCAGACAUCAAUCGUGAUGUGCCUGAACGAAGGAAAUAUUGGUUCGCCACCGCAGUGCACCUUGUGUCUCAUGGUCGAUUUCCUAUUCGAAUUGAUUCCCAUCCACCCAGUGUUGUUUAAGUCGUCGAUGUUUUAUUUUAAUAAUUUUUGGUUUGAUAAUGGCCUGCUGUUAACCAGACCGAAACAUAUGUCAGCUACUAUAACAACUUAUUCUGCAACAUAUGUAAAUACUACAGCAGAAAUAUAAAUUUGAUUGGGGAAGACAACAUCUUGUGUUAUUAUUAUUGACGGAUGGAGGUACUGGCCAUAAUAGCGCCUUCCAAUCAGAACAUUUUGUCUGCACUGCUGUUCCCAUGUUGAUUUAUGUUUUAUGAAUAUUACGAACUAAAUGUUGAAAUUUGUAAGUAACCACAGCAAUAUUGUUCGAUUUGAGAUCAUCCAAUUUU